CCCUUAGAUGUUCUGGGCUGCACGCGCGCUACACUGAUGCGCACAACGAGUUCUUUACCUUGCUCGACAGAGCUGGGAAAACUUCUAUGCGCAUCGUGAUGGGGAUAGAGCAUUGCAAUUCUUGCUCUUCAACGAGGAAUUCCUAGUAAGUGCAAGUCAUCAACUUGCGCUGAUUACGUCCCUGCCCUUUGUACACACCGCCCGUCGCUCCUACCGAUUGAGUAUACCGGUGAAUUAUUCGGAUUCCAGUUUUGUGUGCUCAUAGCACUUCAAAGCAGGGAGAAGAAUUGUGAGCCAUGAUACUUAGAGGAAGGAGAAGUCGUAACA
rnacentral:rRNA from 1 species